UUGGGGAACUGUGGAGAUGGAAGCAGAUGUCUAACGUUAGUGAGAGGACAGAACAUGGUGGAGUAAAUGAAAAAUGAAAGAGGUGAAGGUAUAUGGCAACAUGAAUUAAACCUCAUUACGUGAUAAUUAUUCUGACCAGCGUCACAUUUAUUAUUUUCGGUGAGUGCGAUCUCGUAAUGCAAUAAUGAUCUCUUAAGCAUUUGCCUGUUUAAAUCCAAACAGCUGUUACCAAAAUGCAUUAUGACAUGAAGUGAAAUGUUGAUGAAGUUUGGUUGGAGUUACAAUUCACCUGCCUAGUGUGGUCUGGACUCUCAUAGGGUCGUGGUUAUACCUUACUGCGCAGCAGGCCCCCCGAUGGAUGCUCAGGGGUACUGCAUUCUGACGAGUUCUUGGCUUUGUCCUUGUUAUUGUUCGGCUCGUUGUCUUUGAUGAUGUCGUACUGGCGGCAGAAGAGCGCGAUCACACCUGAAAGAGACAAAAAUGACAUGCAUGUAUUCACCUUAUUUUUAACGGAUGAAGUUUGUAACCUGAAUAGGACGUCCGGAGUCAUCUGCUUCAGUUAUUUUAGCCCUAAAUACAUGCUUGAUAUUGCAAACUGGUAUUUGUUAUUAUAUUAUUUACAAUGUUAUUUAUACAUGCUGUUUACACUCUAACACUAAUUUAAUUAAAGUGUAAAGAGCAAUAAAAAGUAUUGGUAACACUUUCUAUGAAGAGCAUGCUUAUAAUGAUAGCUACAUUUAAACUUAUUUAUAAGUAAGUAUUACUAUUUUGUAAAUAUAAAGACUCAUUAAGAUUUAUACUGCAUUAUAAGAACAAAUGUAUCUAUACAUUUAUAUUAUUUUUAUAACUACUUAUAAGCCAUGCAUUUGCUUUUUCAGUGUGCAUGCUCAUAAUCCAUUAUACACUGAUUUAUAAAUGAUCACAAUAUAGUUCCAGAGACACUUGUUUGCUGUAUCAACUAGUUAUCACGUCUUUAAAGUUUGCAUUAGAGGUAAUGAAUGGUCAUUUUGAUUUGUUAAAAUCUAUAUCUAUGCAUUGUAUUGCUUAUAGCAGUUUGGAAUUACACUUUUAAAAUAUUGUUGCAGUGUUUUGCUAGUAUGUAACAUUAAAAAAGAUACUUUUUUCAACUAUUUGUAUUAAUGAUUUCUUUUUUUUAUUUCGUUACAGGAAUUGUUGUUUAUUAGUUACAUUUACAAGUAAGCUUAAAAUGUAAAAUGAGCACAUAUUCGUGAUUUCUUAACUUUUGAUUUAGGAAAAUUGCAUCCUGUUUUUUCACUUUACUUAAAGCCAAAAAUGAUGCACUUAUAGAGAUUAGUAACUAUUAUUACUCACAAUAAGUAUUUAUAAGAACACAACAUGGCUAUUAAUAACAAUAUAUUCACUAAUUUGACAAAUCUGAAUAAAGUCAUUUUAACUAUAACAUUAUAGCAAUGCAAGCUGCAUCUUUAUAAAUACAUUCAUGGAACCAUACAACGGGCUAAUUAAUGCUUAUAAAUCAGUGUAUAAUGAAUUAUGAACAUGCAUUGAAAAGGAAAAUGCAUGACUUAUAAUUAAUUAUAAAAAUAAUAUAAAUAUAACUGUUCUUAUAAAGUGGUCUUUAUAAAUAUGUCUAUAAAAUAGUAAUACUUGCUUAUAAAUAAGCAUAAAUGGAGCUAUAAUUCAUUAUAAGCAUGGUCUGUUUUCUUUGUACUAAGUGUAAAUAGGGUUACACUUUAUUUUAAUGUGUCCCUAUUACAGUGUAAUUAUACAUUUAAGUACUGAGUAAUAAUAAUUAACUACAUGUACUUACUAUAGGGUUAGGGUAGGAUUAGGGGUUGAUUUAUAGUCAGUUACAUGUAAUUAUGCCUAAUUUAUAGUUAAUAAUACAGUAAAUACAUGUAACAAGGUGUAACAAGGACACAUUAAAAUAAAGUGUUACCGUAAAUAGUUGUUAAUUCAAAUUGUAGCAGAUGCUAUUUACACCUCAGUAUAUUUGUCACGGCCACACAACCUGCACCUUCAGACACGGACACUUACGCCACGCCCACUCGUUCACAAUCACCGGAAUACUGAACACCUGCGCAUCAUCACCAGAGCCCCAUAUAAGCACACCAGUUCCACUCACUCAUUGUCUGGUCUUGCACCGAUCCCUACACGUUUCCUGAUCUUCUCUUACCUGAACAUUGUACCUGCUAUUGUCUCCAUCAUCUUCAUCCCCGGUCCUGAGUCCUCCGUCAUCAUCUGUGUCUCCGUCGUCAUCUGCCAAGGAAAGUUAUCAUUGUGAUUCCCAUUGUCCGUUCUACGUGUCAAGAUUCUCUACCUGUGUCAUCACCUGUGUCUGAAACCUCUGUUAAUAAACACUGUUGCACUUA